rnacentral:lncRNA from 10 species
GUCUUCUUUCUAUGAUAUACAAAGGAACGUCAAGGAGAGCAAUUUAUAAAGACUAGACAUAAAAAACAUGUUUUCUUCUCAUUCCAGUCUUAAAUCAUUUCAGUUACAAUAAUUAGUUAUAGGGAUUUGGAUCUGAAGGUGGAACUGUAAGGGUGUUGGAAUUUUACAAGGAUUCUUCUGUUUAUACUAAGAGUAAUAAAAUUCCACCAAGAUGCAUAUUUGUCCAUCACUGGAAGAAGUGGAUUUAUUUGCUCAUGCUGCAGCAAAGGAGAACUGUAAAUAGUCAAGUCCAACUGAUAUGUGCAAGCCAGCUGCACUGUGCAUGUCAGAUCCAGACUGCAAGUUUUUGAAUUCUUGUGUCUGUUUUUCUAGUUUUGAAUAUCCUCUGAAGUUGUAAGAUUCUUGUCACCCAGCAUAUCUGCUAAAUUGGAGCAGCCUUUCUUUUUUUCUAACGCAUUCUACAAACUUGAAGGCUAGCAACAAAACCUAGAUUUUAAGAGCUAUGAAUGACUGAGCCACUGCAUUCUAGCCUGGGGAACAGAGUGAGACUCUGUAUCAGGAAAAAAAAAAAAAAGAGAGAAAAGAAAAAAAAGAGAGAGAGCUAUGAAUAAACUAUGAGUACACUAAGUUCUCUUAUGAAUUAAUGGCAUGGAUUUGACAUGAUCAAAUUAUUUGUGAAAUUCCACAUUACCUUUUUGCUUAUUUCCUGUUGCCUGUCUGUUUUUCAGACAGCAUUCUCAAAGUGAUGCAUGAAGCAGGUCAAGCAUGGCCUGGAGCAAUUGUGCUGUGACUCAAUUUUCUCAUUUGUCAUGACUAGAUAGUAAUAGGGUUGUCUUGACAAUUAAUAAAAAACAUAUGGAUAUUUUACACACAUAUACAACAAAUAACACUGUAUUAAUAUUAUGUGCUCAAUAAAUAUUAGUCCAAAAAUAUCUGUUUUUCAGACAAGAAAGGUGAAGUUGAUAGAGAGCUGAGUUUUGGAUAAAUGAGAUAUUACUUCAUUACUAAACCACAUUCUAUGUUUAGAACAUAAUAUGAUAGUAUAAGAUGUUUGGGGCGGGCCCAAGAAAUUUACAUUUAAAUGAGUCUCUUAAGAGAUUUGUCUGCACUGGCCUAGAGUUUAAAGUGACCAUAUUUGAGUAAUACCAUUCUCCAACUGAAGCAUGUAGCAAGUCAAGCAUGACCUGGAGCAAUUGUGCUAUGACUCAAUUUUCUCAUGUGUCACAUGGAGAUAGUAAUAAGGUUACCUUAACAACUAAAUAAAAAUAUAUGGAUAUAUGACAUACACAUAUGCAACUAAGAACACUACAAUAAUAUUAUGUACCCAAUAAAUAUUAGUCCAAAAAUGUCUGCCUCA